rnacentral:rRNA from 1 species
GAUGAACGCUGGCGGCGUGCUUAACACAUGCAAGUCGAACGGAGAAAGGGUAGCUUGCUAUCUUUUCUUAGUGGCGGACGGGUGAGUAACGCGUGGGUAACCUGCCCUUUGCAGGGGGAUAACAGUGAGAAAUCACUGCUAAUACCGCAUACCAACUUCUUUCGCAUGAAAGAAGUUUGAAAGAUUUAUCGGCAAAGGAUGGACCCGCGUUGGAUUAGCUAGUUGGUGAGAUAACAGCCCACCAAGGCAACGAUCCAUAGCCGGCCUGAGAGGGUGAACGGCCACACUGGGACUGAGACACGGCCCAGACUCCUACGGGAGGCAGCAGUGGGGAAUAUUGCACAAUGGGCGAAAGCCUGAUGCAGCGACGCCACGUGAAGGAUGAAGGUCUUCGGAUUGUAAACUUCUAUCAGCAGGGAAGAAAGGGCUUAUAGCCUAUGACGGUACCUGACUAAGAAGCCCCGGCUAACUACGUGCCAGCAGCCGCGGUAAU